rnacentral:rRNA from 1 species
GAUGAACGCUGGCGGCGUGCCUAAUACAUGCAAGUCGAGCGAACAGACGAGGAGCUUGCUCCUUUGACGUUAGCGGCGGACGGGUGAGUAACACGUAGGUAACCUACCUAUAAGACUGGGAUAACUUCGGGAAACCGGAGCUAAUACCGGAUAAUAUUUCGAACCGCAUGGUUCGAUAGUGAAAGAUGGCUUUGCUAUCACUUAUAGAUGGACCUGCGCCGUAUUAGCUAGUUGGUAAGGUAACGGCUUAUCAAGGCAACGAUACGUAGCCGACCUGAGAGGGUGAUCGGCCACACUGGAACUGAGACACGGUCCAGACUCCUACGGGAGGCAGCAGUAGGGAAUCUUCCGCAAUGGGCGAAAGCCUGACGGAGCAACGCCGCGUGAGUGAUGAAGGUCUUCGGAUCGUAAAACUCUGUUAUUAGGGAAGAACAAACGUGUAAGUAACUGUGCACGUCUUGACGGUACCUAAUCAGAAAGCCACGGCUAACUACGUG